CUACGUGCCAGCAGCCGCGGUAAUACGUAGGUGGCAAGCGUUGUCCGGAAUUAUUGGGCGUAAAGCGCGCGCAGGCGGAUCGGUCAGUCUGUCUUAAAAGUUCGGGGCUUAACCCCGUGAUGGGAUGGAAACUGCCAAUCUAGAGUAUCGGAGAGGAAAGUGGAAUUCCUAGUGUAGCGGUGAAAUGCGUAGAUAUUAGGAAGAACACCAGUGGCGAAGGCGACUUUCUGGACGAAAACUGACGCUGAGGCGCGAAAGCCAGGGGAGCGAACGGGAUUAGAUACCCCGGUAGUCCUGGCCGUAAACGAUGGGUACUAGGUGUAGGAGGUAUCGACCCCUUCUGUGCCGGAGUUAACGCAAUAAGUACCCCGCCUGGGGAGUACGACCGCAAGGUUGAAACUCAAAGGAAUUGACGGGGGCCCGCACAAGCGGUGGAGUAUGUGGUUUAAUUCGACGCAACGCGAAGAACCUUACCAGGUCUUGACAU
rnacentral:rRNA from 1 species